rnacentral:rRNA from 1 species
AUUGAACGCUGGCGGCAGGCCUAACACAUGCAAGUCGAACGGAGUGGCGGACGGGUGAGUAAUGCCUAGGAAUCUGCCCGGUAGUGGGGGAUAACGUCCGGAAACGGGCGCUCAAAUCGCAUACUCCCACAUGAGCCUAGGUGGGAUUAGCUAGUUGGUGGGGUAUAGGCUUACCAAGGCGACGAUCCGUAACUGGUCUGAGAGGAUGAUCAGUCACACUGGAACUGAGACACGGUCCAGACUCCUACGGGAGGCAGCAGUGGGGAAUAUUGGACAAUGGGCGAAAGCCUGAUGCAGCCAUGCCGCGUGUAUGAAGAAGGUCUUCGGGUUGUAAAGCACUUUAAGUUGGGAGGCGUUACCGACAGAAUAAGCACCGGCUAACUUCGUGCCAGCCGCCGCGGUAAUUC